rnacentral:rRNA from 1 species
CUACGGAGGGGGCUAGCGUUGUUCGGAAUUACUGGGCGUAAAGCGCGCGUAGGCGGACUGAUCAGUUGGGGGUGAAAUCCCAGGGCUUAACCCUGGAACUGCCUCCAAUACUGUCAGUCUUGAGUUCGGGAGAGGUGAGUGGAAUUCCUAGUGUAGAGGUGAAAUUCGUAGAUAUUAGGAAGAACACCAGUGGCGAAGGCGGCUCACUGGCCCGAUACUGACGCUGAGGCGCGAAAGCGUGGGGAGCAAACAGGAUUAGAAACCCUAGUAGUCC